GCGGACGUAGCUCAGCUGGUAGAGCAUCACCUUGCCAAGGUGAGGGUCGCGCGUUCAAAUCGCGUCGUCCGCUCCA
rnacentral:tRNA from 1 species